GUUACACACACACACACACACGCACAAUGUGUAUGCCAAGGGUACCCACUAUUAUUGAUCCUUAAUUAUUGAUGAAGUCGUUAAACACAAACAGCAUUAAGGUGAACAUGUGCGUAUCCAGACUACACCACCUGCUCUCUCCAUCAGGGUUCUGUUGAGGGACUUUCUACUUCAUCCACAUAGAAAUUCUCAUCAUUGUCAAUGAUCAGGCCUACUACAGAAACAGCUGGAAACUUCACAGUGGUGUUGGACAUAAGAGUGGCUACACAAUUGUGUGUUAAUGGAGUAGAGCAGAGGGCUUAGAACAACCUUAGGGAGCUCCAGUAUUGAGGGUAAGGUUGUUGAAGGUUAAGGUACUUUCUGCAGCUGACCAGUUAAAAUGUCCAGAACCCACUGGUAGACUAACGAACACAGGCCCAGCACCCUGAUAUAAUCCAACAGACUGAAGGGGACUACAGUGUUGAAGGCUGAACUGAAGUCUCACAGAGUUUUGCUUCACAUGUGAAGAUGAGAUGGGGUGGAGUGCAGGACAUGGGAGAUGGUGUCAUGGCCUGACUUUUUAGAUCAGUAAGAGUUUGUCUAGCUUGCUGAUUAGAGAGGACAGGUGUAGUGUGUGUGAUGAGUAGAGAGGACAGGUGUAGUGUGUGUGAUGAAUAGAGAGGACAGGUGUAGUGUGUGAUGAGUAGAGAGGACAGGUGUAGUGUGUGUGAUGAAUAGAGAGGACAGGUGUAGUGUGUGAUGAGUAGAGAGGACAGGUGUAGUGUGUGUGAUGAGUAGAGAGGACAGGUGUAGUGUGUGUGAUGAAUAGAGAGGACAGGUGUAGUGUGUGAUGAGUAGAGAGGACAGGUGUAGUGUGUGUGAUGAAUAGAGAGGACAGGUGUAGUGUGUGAUGAGUAGAGAGGACAGGUGUAGUGUGUGAUGAGUAGAGAGGACAGGUGUAGUGUGUGAUGAGUAGAGAGGACAGGUGUAGUGUGUGAUGAAUAGAGAGGACAGGUGUAGUGUGUGAUGAGUAGAGAGGACAGGUGUAGUGUGUGUGAUGAAUAGAGAGGACAGGUGUAGUGUGUGUGAUGAAUAGAGAGGACAGGUGUAGUGUGUGAUGAGUAGAGAGGACAGGUGUAGUGUGUGAUGAGUAGAGAGGACAGGUGUAGUGUGUGAUGAGUAGAGAGGACAGGUGUAGUGUGUGAUGAAUAGAGAGGACAGGUGUAGUGUGUGAUGAGUAGAGAGGACAGGUGUAGUGUGUGUGAUGAAUAGAGAGGACAGGUGUAGUGUGUGAUGAGUAGAGAGGACAGGUGUAGUGUGUGAUGAAUAGAGAGGACAGGUGUAGUGUGUGAUGAGUAGAGAGGACAGGUGUAGUGUGUGUGAUGAGUAGAGAGGACAGGUGUAGUGUGUGAUGAGUAGAGAGGACAGGUGUAGUGUGUGAUGAGUAGAGAGGACAGGUGUAGUGUGUGUGAUGAGUAGAGAGGACAGGUGUAGUGUGUGAUGAGUAGAGAGGACAGGUGUAGUGUGUGAUGAGUAGAGAGGACAGGUGUAGUGUGAUGAGUAGAGAGGACAGGUGUAGUGUGAUGAGUAGAGAGGACAGGUGUAGUGUGUGAUGAGUAGAGAGGACAGGUGUAGUGUGUGAUGAGUAGAGAGGACAGGUGUAGUGUGUGAUGAAUAGAGAGGACAGGUGUAGUGUGUGAUGAAUAGAGAGGACAGGUGUAGUGUGUGAUGAAUAGAGAGGACAGGUAUAGUGUGAUGAGUAGAGAGGACAGGUGUAGUGUGUGAUGAGUAGAGAGGACAGGUGUAGUGUGUGAUGAGUAGAGAGGACAGGUGUAGUGUGUGAUGAAUAGAGAGGAAAGGUGUAGUGUGUGAUGAAUAGAGAGGACAGGUGUAGUGUGAUGAGUAGAGAGGACAGGUGUAGUGUGAUGAGUAGAGAGGACAGGUGUAGUGUGUGAUGAGUAGAGAGGACAGGUGUAGUGUGUGUUAUGAGUAGAGAGGACAGGUGUAGUGUGUGUUAUGAGUGGAGAGGACAGGUGUAGUGUGUGAUGAGUAGAGAGGACAGGUGUAGUGUGUGAUGAGUAGAGAGGACAGGUGUAGUGUGAUGAGUAGAGAGGACAGGUGUAGUGUGUGAUGAAUAGAGAGGACAGGUGUAGUGUGUGAUGAGUAGAGAUGACAGGUGUAGUGUGUGUUAUGAGUAGAGAUGACAGGUGUAGUGUGAUGAGUAGAGAGGACAGGUGUAGUGUGUGAUGAGUAGAGAGGACAGGUGUAGUGUGUGUUAUGAGUAGAGAGGACAGGUGUAGUGUGUGAUGAGUAGAGAGGACAGGUGUAGUGUGUGAUGAGUAGAGAGGACAGGUGUAGUGUGUGUUAUGAGUAGAGAGGACAGGUGUAGUGUGUGAUGAGUAGAGAGGACAGGUGUAGUGUGUGAUGAGUAGAGAGGACAGGUGUAGUGUGUGAUGAGUAGAGAGGACAGGUGUAGUGUGUGAUGAGUAGAGAGGACAGGUGUAGUGUGUGAUGAGUAGAGAGGACAGGUGUAGUGUGUGAUGAGUAGAGAGGACAGGUGUAGUGUGUGAUGAGUAGAGAGGACAGGUGUAGUGUGUGAUGAAUAGAGAGGACAGGUGUAGUGUGUGAUGAGUAGAGAGGACAGGUGUAGUGUGUGAUGAGUAGAGAGGACAGGUGUAGUGUGUGAUGAGUAGAGAGGACAGGUGUAGUGUGUGAUGAGUAGAGAGGACAGGUGUAGUGUGUGAUGAGUAGAGAGGACAGGUGUAGUGUGUGAUGAGUAGAGAGGACAGGUGUAGUGUGUGAUGAGUAGAGAGGACAGGUGUAGUGUGUGAUGAGUAGAGAGGACAGGUGUAGUGUGUGAUGAGUAGAGAGGACAGGUGUAGUGUGUGAUGAGUAGAGAGGACAGGUGUAGUGUGUGAUGAGUAGAGAGGACAGGUGUAGUGUGUGAUGAAUAGAGAGGACAGGUGUAGUGUGUGAUGAGUAGAGAGGACAGGUGUAGUGUGUGAUGAGUAGAGAGGACAGGUGUAGUGUGUGAUGAGUAGAGAGGACAGGUGUAGUGUGUGAUGAGUAGAGAGGACAGGUGUAGUGUGUGUUAUGAGUAGAGAGGACAGGUGUAGUGUGUGAUGAGUAGAGAGGACAGGUGUAGUGUGUGAUGAGUAGAGAGGACAGGUGUAGUGUGUGAUGAAUAGAGAGGAAAGGUGUAGUGUGUGAUGAAUAGAGAGGACAGGUGUAGUGUGAUGAGUAGAGAGGACAGGUGUAGUGUGUGAUGAGUAGAGAGGACAGGUGUAGUGUGUGUUAUGAGUAGAGAGGACAGGUGUAGUGUGUGUUAUGAGUAGAGAGGACAGGUGUAGUGUGUGUUAUGAGUAGAGAGGACAGGUGUAGUGUGUGAUGAGUAGAGAGGACAGGUGUAGUGUGUGAUGAGUAGAGAGGACAGGUGUAGUGUGUGAUGAGUAGAGAGGACAGGUGUAGUGUGUGAUGAAUAGAGAGGACAGGUGUAGUGUGUGAUGAGUAGAGAGGACAGGUGUAGUGUGUGUGAUGAGUAGAGAUGACAGGUGUAGUGUGUGUGAUGAGUAGAGAUGACAGGUGUAGUGUGUGAUGAGUAGAGAGGACAGGUGUAGUGUGUGUUAUGAGUGGAGAGGACAGGUGUAGUGUGUGAUGAAUAGAGAGGACAGGUGUAGUGUGUGAUGAGUAGAGAGGACAAGUGUAGUGUGUGAUGAGUAGAGAGGACAGGUGUAGUGUGUGAUGAGUAGAGAGGACAGGUGUAGUGUGUGAUGAAUAGAGAGGACAGGUGUAGUGUGUGUUAUGAGUAGAGAGGACAAGUGUAGUGUGUGAUGAGUAGAGAGGACAGGUGUAGUGUGUGAUGAGUAGAGAGGACAGGUGUAGUGUGUGUUAUGAGUAGAGAGGACAGGUGUAGUGUGUGAUGAGUAGAGAGGACAGGUGUAGUGUGUGAUGAGUAGAGAGGACAGGUGUAGUGUGUGUUAUGAGUAGAGAGGACAGGUGUAGUGUGUGAUGAGUAGAGAGGACAGGUGUAGUGUGUGAUGAGUAGAGAGGACAGGUGUAGUGUGUGAUGAGUAGAGAGGACAGGUGUAGUGUGUGAUGAGUAGAGAGGACAGGUGUAGUGUGUGAUGAGUAGAGAGGACAGGUGUAGUGUGUGUUAUGAGUAGAGAGGACAGGUGUAGUGUGUGAUGAGUAGAGAGGACAGGUGUAGUGUGUGAUGAGUAGAGAGGACAGGUGUAGUGUGUGUUAUGAGUAGAGAGGACAGGUGUAGUGUGUGAUGAGUAGAGAGGACAGGUGUAGUGUGUGUGAUGAAUAGAGAGGACAGGUGUAGUGUGUGAUGAGUAGAGAGGACAGGUGUAGUGUGUGAUGAAUAGAGAGGACAGGUGUAGUGUGUGAUGAGUAGAGAGGACAGGUGUAGUGUGUGAUGAAUGGAGAGGACAGGUAUAGUCUGUGAUGAGUGGAGAGGACAGGUGUAGUGUGUGAUGAGUAGAGAGGACAGGUGUAGUGUGUGAUGAGUAGAGAGGACAGGUGUAGUGUGUGUUAUGAGUAGAGAGGACAGGUGUAGUGUGUGAUGAGUAGAGAGGACAGGUGUAGUGUGUGUGAUGAAUAGAGAGGACAGGUGUAGUGUGUGAUGAGUAGAGAGGACAGGUGUAGUGUGUGAUGAGUAGAGAGGACAGGUGUAGUGUGUGAUGAGUAGAGAGGACAGGUGUAGUGUGUGAUGAGUAGAGAGGACAGGUGUAGUGUGUGUUAUGAGUAGAGAGGACAGGUGUAGUGUGUGAUGAGUAGAGAGGACAGGUGUAGUGUGUGAUGAGUAGAGAGGACAGGUGUAGUGUGUGUUAUGAGUAGAGAGGACAGGUGUAGUGUGUGAUGAGUAGAGAGGACAGGUGUAGUGUGUGUGAUGAGUAGAGAGGACAGGUGUAGUGUGUGAUGAGUAGAGAGGACAGGUGUAGUGUGUGAUGAAUAGAGAGGACAGGUGUAGUGUGUGAUGAAUAGAGAGGACAGGUGUAGUGUGUGAUGAGUAGAGAGGACAGGUGUAGUGUGUGAUGAAUGGAGAGGACAGGUGUAGUGUGUGAUGUGUUUCUUCAUCACCACAGAGGUUAGGGCCACUGGACAGUAAUCAUUCACCUCAGAUGGAGUGUGGGACUUUAGCAGAGGAAUAAUAGAGGAUCUCUAAGCAGUAUUAAAGGUAUUAAUGUGUGUGUGUGUGUGUGUGUGUGUGCGUGUUUGUGUGU